GUGGGGAAUCUUGCGCAAUGGGCGAAAGCCUGACGCAGCAACGCCGCGUGCGGGAUGACGGCCUUCAAGGUUGUAAACCGCUUUCAGCAGGGACGAAAAUGACGGUACCUGCAGAAGAAGCCCCGGCUAACUACGUGCCAGCAGCCGCGGUAAUACGUAGGGGGCAAGCGUUGUCCGGAGUCAUUGGGCGUAAAGAGCUCGUAGGCGGUUCAGUAAGUCGGGUGUGAAAGCUCCGAGCUCAACUCGGAGAGGCCACCCGAUACUGCUGUGACUUGAGUACAGUAGGGGAGCGUGGAAUUCCUGGUGUAGCGGUGAAAUGCGCAGAUAUCAGGAGGAACACCAGCGGCGAAGGCGGCGCUCUGGGCUGUAACUGACGCUGAGGAGCGAAAGUGUGGGUAGCAAACAGGAUUAGAAACCCGGGUAGUCC
rnacentral:rRNA from 1 species